rnacentral:rRNA from 1 species
AAGUUACGAUAGGCUAAUUAAGGGCGUAUGGGGAAUGCCUAGGCUCUCAGAGGCGAUGAAGGACGUGAUAAGCUGCGAAAAGUUACGGGGAAUGGCACACACAUUUUGAUCCGUAAAUAUCCGAAUAGGGCAACCUGAUUAUUUGAAGAAUAAUCAUCCAUCUUGUAUGGAAGCAAACCCGGAGAACUGAAACAUCUAAGUACCCGGAGGAAGAGAAAACAAUAGUGAUUCCGCUAGUAGUGGCGAGCGAACGCGGAAUAGCCCAAACCUAAAUUGUUACGGCAAUUUAGGGGUUGUAGGACCACAAUAUUUGUUGCUCGAUGAAUUAGAAUCUGUUGGAAAGCAGAACCAGAGAGGGUGAUAGUCCCGUAUAAGUAAAGAAAGUUAACAAUAGUGGUAUCCUGAGUAGUACGGGGCACGGGAAACCUUGUAUGAAUCCGGCGGGACCAUCCGCCAAGGCUAAAUACUCCUGAGAGACCGAUAGUGAACUAGUACCGUGAGGGAAAGGUGAAAAGAACCCUGAAUAAGGGAGUGAAAUAGAUCCUGAAACCAUACGCUUACAAGCGGUCGGAGCCCUUUGGGGUGACGGCGUGCCUUUUGCAUAAUGAGCCUACGAGUUAACGUUGCUAGCAAGGUUAAGUACUUAAGGUACGAAGCCGUAGCGAAAGCGAGUCUGAAUAGGGCGACUCAGUUAGCAGUGUUAGACGCGAAACCGUGUGAUCUACCCAUGGGCAGGUUGAAGCUGUAGUAACAUACAGUGGAGGACCGAACCCGUUGACGUUGAAAAGUCUUGGGAUGACCUGUGGGUAGGGGUGAAAGGCCAAUCAAACUCGGAAAUAGCUCGUACUCCCCGAAAUGCAUUUAGGUGCAGCGUUGUAUUAGUUUCAUAGAGGUAGAGCUACUGAUUGGAUGCGGGGCCUUCACCGGCUACCAAUUCCUGACAAACUCCGAAUGCUAUGAAAUGAUGUACAGCAGUGAGGGCAUGGGUGCUAAGGUCCAUGUCCGAGAGGGAAAGAACCCAGACCAUCAGCUAAGGUCCCAAAGUGUAUGCUAAGUUGAAUAAACGAGGUUUGACUGCCCAGACAGCUAGGAUGUUGGCUUGGAAGCAGCCAUUCAUUUAAAGAGUGCGUAACAGCUCACUAGUCGAGCGGUCGAGCAUGGAUAAUAAUCGGGCAUAAGCAUAUCACCGAAGCUAUGGCAUCGAAAGAUGGGUAGGGGAGCAUUGUAGCGACGUUGAAGGUAAACUGUAAGGUUUGCUGGAGUUUCUACAAAAGAAAAUGUAGGCAUAAGUAACGACAAUGCGGGCGAGAAACCCGCACACCGAAAGACUAAGGUUUCCUCAGCUAUGCUAAUCAGCUGAGGGUUAGUCGGGACCUAACGCGAACCCGAAAGGGGUAGUGGAUGGACAACAGGUUAAUAUUCCUGUACCUGCUCUCAUUAAAAGUGACGGAUUGCCCAGAUAUCUACGUGGUGACGGAAGUCCACGUUGAGCAUAGCCUUCGGGCGAAGCGAAGAUAAGUAAGCAGUUCCUAGAAAAGCGAGAGAAGCAGCCCGUACCGCAAACCGACACAGGUAGUUGGGAUGAGUAUUCUAAGGUGCUCGAGAGAUUCAUGGCUAAGGAACUAGGCAAAAUCGACCCGUAACUUCGGGAGAAGGGUCGCCACGUUUCGACGUGGCCGCAGUGAAAAGAUCCAGGCGACUGUUUAUCAAAAACACAGGACUCUGCUAAAUCGAAAGAUGACGUAUAGGGUCUGACACCUGCCCGGUGCCGGAAGGUUAAGUGGAGUUGUUAGCUUCGGCGAAGCAAUCAAAUGAAGCCCCGGUAAACGGCGGCCGUAACUAUAACGGUCCUAAGGUA